UAAACCUUUUCUUAAGAAGAGUAACGAAUAUGCAGCACGCACAGACUAAUCUUUAGUAACAGGCGAAAGAAUAGUUCGCUUCUGCUCGGUGCGUGGCUGCGUGAAGUCUAGCUCUCGCAAGUGCUGCCUUUUUAUGUUGUAAACAGAGUUUGGUUUAACUUUGUGUUAUCGCUGUGGUACUCGCCUCACUCUUUUUUCCUAUACCAAACUUUUAAAGCCUCAGAGUUUUACAUGUUUACUCUCUCUCCUUGUUUUCUUCUUGUUCUUCAUCAGUCCUGAAAUUUUACAUGUUUUGAAAUAGAAACUACUUAUGCUAUUCUCUUUCCAUUUUAAUUUAAUUACUCAAGAGUUGAAUUGAUUUCAGCCUUCGCAAGCUGAUGUGGUGAUUGUGAAGAAAUAGAUGCUCACAAGCUGAUUGAUGAAAUGUCGCAAAGGAUGUAAUGGAAGACUCAAUUGUUAGAAGCAAUUAACAAAGCAGUUGCUAGUUGUUUCAAUUGCAUCUUUUAUGGUAAAUUUAAGUUUAGAGGCGUAUCCGAGAUUUAAAUUUUAUGAGUUCAAAUUUUAAGGUUUAUCUCAAAAGUUAUGGUUCAUAUCUACUAUUUAUUGCAAUAAAUAGUAAAUUUUUACACAUUAAUUUAUACACCACAUCGAAAGUACUGGGUCAGAUGAACCCCAUACUUUGAAGCUCCAUUAGCCCCGGCUUACAAUGAGAGUGAGUAGCGUGAGGAACCUUAUACCUCGAGCUAAGAUUUUUACAGCCAAGAGAAAUGGAGUAAUGCGGUUUUAUCACUACUCAGACGAAGAAGUCGAGGACGAGUCUUUUCCUUCUGAAUGGUACGAGAAAGCUUUCUCAAAAUUAACAAACUUGAGCCACUUGCUAAAGAAUGUGGACUUAGUUGAUGGAAAGCUAGUAAAUGUUAACGAUCACUCGAGAGUUUAUGAUGGGAGCUUGGAACAAAAGGUGUCUUCUUUUAAAUCACUUGCUAGGACCUUUAUUGGGUGUCCAUCAAUGCAAGAAAUGAUGAAAAAGAAUGUGGUGCAAGCAUUAGCUGAUGUACAAUGUGAACAACCCGUAUUUUUCAGUAAAGCUAGCGAGAGGGAACCGAUUACAGUUGAUUCCCUCACGAAAGUGUCAAACUUCUUGAAUGUUUCUGCACAGCAAAGGAAGCUUGUCAGGCAAUCGAUAUGUGCACAGGUCACUAAGUACCCCAUAUGGACAGGGGCAAUCGAGGAGAUAUUGAGUGGACUGAAAUCUGAGAUUGAUUUUCUAAAUUGUAGGUGUCCGAAUAAAGAAAUUAAGAUGGCGCAACAAAUAGCUACAACUUGUCAAAAGUUUUUAGAAAGUGCCACUUCUUAUGACCCUGAAUCCACUUCAUGGAUGCGCCUAAAAGGCGUGGAUUCACCCGCUUCUCACAAGUGGGAAGAUGUUCUUGAAAUGUUCAGCGACCUUAUUAAUUGCUUGUGUGAAGAGACAAAAUUAACUUCGGAGGUAAAGAAGCUUGAGGUCAUGAGAGAGGGGCUUUAUCAGAUUAGGGAUGCUUUCAUAGACAAGAACAUUGGGUAUAAGGAAACUCGCCACCAGGAGAGUUUAGUGCAUAAAAAAUUGAGUAAGACAUUGGGUCACUCAUCACGAUGCGUGUUCACACUUCUUCUUUAUUAUCUUUAUGGCAGCGUCUGGGAUAUUGAAGUUGAACUUUGUGGAGGAGUUUAUGCAAUUGGUCGCGGGGAUAAGUUCCGUCUGUGCAUGGGAAAGACCCUAACGUCCAAUGAGCAGAAUAUGGUGCACAGCGGGGUAAAGCAGCUAAGCAGAGCUUUGGGGCUUUUCAAGUUUGUAUGGGAAACAGCUGGAAUGAAAGGCGACCUAGAAGUACAAGGCCACCUGUGGUGCAUUGGUGCCAAGAAUAAGUCAUUCAUCUAUAGAAAUAAUAUGUUCUUCCUGCAUUCUGUUAGUUGCUGAUGUGAGAGACAGCGAGAACUCGAAAGGUGGAAGAUGCAUUCAUGAAUGAUGUCUAUAGUAGAUCUGUUUGCAGUCUGGCUGCUGACAGCUCCGGGUAUUGAACAAAAGUUAGUAAUUCCUCAUUAUGCUGGAAUGAAGUUGUUAUUAUAGCAGAGAACAUGUCGCAAGUGUUCUCUUUUACUACUUUUGGUAUGAAAAUCAGAUGUGCUUUUCACCACAUUGUUGUACCGUAGCCAUAACUGGCUUUAUUCUUCUUCGGGAACUGUGUUGUUUGGACAACUCCAUUGGUUAUCUACACUCUUGGUCACCAUAAGAAUACAUUCAUGCAGCAACAAAUUUGAUUGUAUCCCUCAACUUGCAAUGGGUGCCACGACGUAAUUAGGUGAUCCUGUUAAAGAAGGCCAGAGACGGACCAUUAGGAUUGAGGAAUAGGAAUUACAUUAAUCCGACAUAUUAGUGAAUUGUACUACCAACAACGAUGAAAUGUCAUCUAUAGUACAAUCUUUGUGCUUCAUGCUCUCCAUUGCCUCUACACUAACCAGUUCGGUGUAGUAAAGGUGUGAUCAACCUACCGAUUGUGUUUUAAAGUCAAAUCUUGAUCGUAUAAGUGAAAAGCAUAGAUUCUGUAACAUUACGAAAUUUGUUUUUACGUAUUUAGCUUUUUCAUAUUCUAACUAAGAAAAUGCAGCAAAAGAACUUUCCCAAAUUCCAGUUGGAGUC